rnacentral:lncRNA from 1 species
CACGCCAAGUGCAAACAGACUAUGUGAGUAUGAUCCAAUCCUCGCCAACUGAUGAUACCCUACCAUCUAGGGUUAAUCUGUAAUAUACCGAAACUUCGGUAAAUAAAUAUCGAACUUUAGUCAAAUGAUCAAAAUGCGAGGUUGGUACGCUUCGGAAAGGCCGAAGGCGUCAAAAAAGGUAAAAGUGCAUUGUUGGGGGUUUUUGAGAGCUAAUGUAACAUACCAGAUUUUGGUAUAAAAAUAAAAAUAAAUAAAAAUAGUGUGAGAAACUAUUUUUAUUGGAUUUAUAGAAAUAAAACAUAAGUCAGAAAUGACUUGUGCUGAAAUCGGAAUGAAAACAGAAGAUCUAGAAUUUUCUGUUGGAAACGGGACAGAUAAAUUAGCAGAAAAUGUACAGUCUCAGAAAAUUAUGAAAAUUGGAGGAUAAGUCAGAAAUAUUUUUAUGAGGCUAGAUUUAAAGUUUCAUAUUUUUCUGACACCCGUAGAGUGAGAAAUAAAAUUCGAGAGUCAUCUGAUAAAGAUUACAGUUCAGCAUAAUUUUCGGUAACCAAAUGGGGUCGAAACUAAAAACUUAAAAUAUAUUCUUACUCAGUACGUUAAACUGAGUCUGCCUGUCAAAUUUGAGCUCAAACGAACAUUCAGAAGGGCUCUAACUAUUCUGAAGUGCUAAAACUGCCUGAAAUGAAUAGUGCCUUGGGGUGCAUUAUAAAGAAGCUGAUGCUUCUUCUUCCUCUCCUUCAGCCCGAGCACACACACACGCACGCAUGGUGCUAGUGAGAGAAACCUUCAUUCCUCUCUCUAGAUUUCUCUCUCAUCUCUCCAUAUCUCUCGCUCAAAUUCGCGGCGUUGGUGGAGAAGAUGCUCGCGAACGCGUUGGGAGCGACGGAUCGAGCUUUCGUGCGCCCAUUGGAGCGGCGUGUUUUCGUUGCGGCAUUCAC